rnacentral:rRNA from 1 species
AUUGAACGCUGGCGGCAUGCCUUACACAUGCAAGUCGAACGGUAACAGGUCUUCGGAUGCUGACGAGUGGCGAACGGGUGAGUAAUGCAUCGGAACGUGCCCAGUUGUGGGGGAUAACUGCUCGAAAGAGCAGCUAAUACCGCAUACGAACUGAGGGUGAAAGCGGGGGAUCGCAAGACCUCGCGCAAUUGGAGCUGCCGAUGUCAGAUUAGGUAGUUGGUGGGGUAAGGGCGUACCAAGCCGACGAUCUGUAGUUGGUCUGAGAGGACGACCAGCCACACUGGGACUGAGACACGGCCCAGACUCCUACGGGAGGCAGCAGUGGGGAAUUUUGGACAAUGGGCGCAAGCCUGAUCCAGCAAUGCCGCGUGCAGGAAGAAGGCCUUCGGGUUGUAAACUGCUUUUGUCAGGGAAGAAAUCCUCUGGGUUAAUACCCCGGGGGGAUGACGGUACCUGAAGAAUAAGCACCGGCUAACUACGUGCCAGCAGCCGCCGUAAAAC